rnacentral:rRNA from 1 species
UACAGAGGUCUCAAGCGUUGUUCGGAUUCAUUGGGCGUAAAGGGUGCGUAGGUGGUGAUGCAAGUCUGGUGUGAAAUCUCGGAGCUCAACUCCGAAAUUGCACCGGAUACUGCGUGACUCGAGGACUGUAGAGGAGACUGGAAUUCAUGGUGUAGCAGUGAAAUGCGUAGAGAUCAUGAGGAAGACCAGUGGCGAAGGCGGGUCUCUGGACAGUUCCUGACACUGAGACACGAAGGCCAGGGGAGCAAACGGG